rnacentral:rRNA from 1 species
GAUGAACGCUAGCGGCGUGCCUAAUACAUGCAAGUCGAGCGAACAGAUGAGGAGCUUGCUCCUCUGACGUUAGCGGCGGACGGGUGAGUAACACGUGGAUAACCUACCUAUAAGACUGGGAUAACUUCGGGAAACCGGAGCUAAUACCGGAUAAUAUAUUGAACCGCAUGGUUCAAUAGUGAAAGACGGUUUUGCUGUCACUUAUAGAUGGAUCCGCGCCGCAUUAGCUAGUUGGUAAGGUAACGGCUUACCAAGGCAACGAUGCGUAGCCGACCUGAGAGGGUGAUCGGCCACACUGGAACUGAGACACGGUCCAGACUCCUACGGGAGGCAGCAGUAGGGAAUCUUCCGCAAUGGGCGAAAGCCUGACGGAGCAACGCCGCGUGAGUGAUGAAGGUCUUCGGAUCGUAAAACUCUGUUAUUAGGGAAGAACAAAUGUGUAAGUUACUAUGCACGUCUUGACGGUACCUAAUCAGAAAGCCACGGCUAACUACGUG